CCUCUAGCUCCUCCAGCAGUUCAUCCUGGAUAGGGAAGACAAGACCACUUUAGAUGAAGAAAAAAACUUCUACCUCCAAAAACAUACCACUUUUGAAGUUCCCUCCCAAACUUGUCCCAAGAGCCUCUCUUGGGUGUUCCUUCUGGCCAGUCCCAUACUUUCUGCAAUAUUCCCUGACCCUUCACCCCCAAUCACCUCAUCCACAUCAUCUCCAAAGCCCAUAGGCCGAGAAAUGGCAUCUGAGAUCUGCUGGGCCACCUCCUGUUGUUCCGUGAUGUCAGUCAUCAGUUCAUCUACCUUGUCAAUGUCCCUGAGAAUGAGAUAGAUAGCUAAGAAAUCACGCAACAAUGCCCCCUUGACUUUCUCAUCUCACAUGAAUGAAACCCCUCCUGCCUUGCAGGGUCACACUGAUAAGCCCAUAACUAUCAAUCAGAAGAGAUCCCUGGAAAAUUGCAAAGAUGCAAGUUGUGAUCUCAGCCUCCCUGAGUAGCUGGGACUACAGGCACACACCAUCAUGCCCACCUAAUUUUUUUUUUUUUUUUUGAGAAUGGAGUCUCCCUCUGUCACCAAGGCUGGAGUGCAUUGGUGCAAUCUUGGCUCACUACAACCUCCGCCUCCUGGGUUCAAGCGAUUCACCUGUCUCAGCCUCCCCCAGUAGCUGGGACUACAGGCGCGUGCCACCACAACCAGCUAAUUUUUUUUUUUUUUUUGUAUUUUUAGUAGAGACAAGGUUUCACCAUGUUGUCCAGGCUGGUCUCGAACUCUUGACCUCAGGUGAUCCACCCACCUCGGCCUCCCAAAGUGCUGGGAUUACAGGCGUGAGCCACCGCGCCCGGCCAAUUUUUAUAUUUUUAGUAGAGACGGGGUUUCACCAUAUUGGCCAGGCUGAUCUCAAACUCCUGACCUCAUGAUCCACCCACGUCGGCCUCCCAAAGUGUUGCGAGUACAGGCGUGAGCCCCCGCGCCGGGCUAAGAAGGCAGUCUUUCUUCUUCACCUUAGAUCCCUCUUGCCCAGCACAAAGUAUUAUAGAACAAGGUUUUGAAAAUGGCUGAAGACAGCAGGAAACUCGUCUUCAAGCCUGAACAGUGGGAGUCAGCACGAUCGCCACGCCCUCAACUCAAGUCCCCUCCCAGAUCUUGAGUUCUUCCCUCUGAGAGUGGGGGAGGACGGCGGACGGGAACAAGGCGCCCCGACAUGGUGUGCCUUUUGGCACCGGCGAUGAGCCUUGCUCCGCCAUCGGCCGCCGGGGUUUUCCAGUCAGCCUGUCUCCUGAUUCUCUUCCCCUGCCCGGCGCAGCGGUCCGGCCGAAUCUCGCCGGGGUCUCCUCUUCCCCUGCACCAGCCAGCGCCUCCUGGCUGGCCAGUCCCACCCUGGCUCACCCUUCCCGAAGAGCCUGCCGAGACCACUCAUCGCGAGCUCGCCUCUCCCGCCUCCGCCCCUCAGCGUCCUCCAGACUUCCGCCUUGCUCCUGGGAGGGUGAUGUCUCAUCACACAGGGACCAGCCUUGCCCAAUCCGUCCUCAGGGCGCCGCCGCGACAUCAAGAGGCGCAAACGAGACCACCGGUGUCACGUGACCCAAGCCACCAGCCCCAGACCGACGCGCUCCUCUUAAAGCUGCCACAUCAUUUUCUAUUAAGUAAAAAGACAGUUCUAUCUCCACCUGAGUACGUGCUUGUUCUCCGGAAGGAAAUGUGCAGUGUGAUGGCACCUCAGUGUAUGGGGUCAGUGGGAAAACUUCAUGCUCUUUACAGAGCUCAGGAAAGUGGGGUGGUAUAGGUUCAAGCACUUGGGGUUGCCCUAAGUUUAGAUGGCAAACCUGAUGCAGUCUAAUGUCUCACAUUCUGGUCUCUGCACCUCAGGACAACCAACCCCAUUUCACAGGCUAGAAAAAUAGAAACUCCCCACACUGUGGGUAAAAUCUCUUCUGUCACACACAGAUGAACUUUAAUAAAUUACAAAUGCACCUG
rnacentral:lncRNA from 1 species